ACCCUCUAGUUACUUUUUACAUCAGAUCUGGAUGCAAGUCUUUGUGGCCAUAAUGGAGGAAGAGUACACUGAAGCUGGCCUCACAGCAGUAUAGUUUGGUAUAAAUCAUAAGGCCAAAUUCAAACAAAG